GCAUAUUUUAGAGCCAAAGUCAUAAAAUUUAAUUAAACCUUAUUACUAACAAAUCCGCCUUCAAACAGAAUUCUCAAUCCAUUUUCCGUAAAAUAAAUAAACUUAUUGUAACCCAUCUCAACCUUACUUAUAAACUGCACCUUGAUCUGAUUUAUUUAAUUAUAUUAAAUUUUGAAUAUUAGUAUUCUACUGAAAUAUUCAACUACGACGAUAUACAAAUUUAUUAAAAUAAAUACAAUUAAUCGUGGGCUAUCGACAACAGGACAGGUUCCUCUGAAAAGACUAAAACACCGCCAAAUUUUUUAAUUUUCAAGAACAUAUCUAAUACUAAUUUAAUUUUAAUUUAACAUAUUAUA
rnacentral:rRNA from 1 species